rnacentral:rRNA from 1 species
UACGGAGGGGGCUAGCGUUGUUCGGAAUUACUGGGCGUAAAGCGCACGUAGGCGGCUUUGUAAGUUAGAGGUGAAGGCCCAGGGCUUAACCCUGGAAUUGCCUUUAAGACUGCAUCGCUAGAAUCGUGGAGAGGUGAGUGGAAUUCCGAGUGUAGAGGUGAAAUUCGUAGAUAUUCGGAAGAACACCAGUGGCGAAGGCGACUCACUGGACACGUAUUGACGCUGAGGUGCGAAAGCGUGGGGAGCAAACAGG